UAGAGUUUGAUCCUGGCUCAGAAUCAACGCUGGCGGCGUGCCUAACACAUGCAAGUCGAACGCGAAAGUCCCGCAAGGGAUCAGUAGAGUGGCAAACGGGUGAGUAACACGUGGGUGACCUGCCUUCGAGCGGGGGAUAACGUUCCGAAAGGGACGCUAAUACCGCAUAACAUCCUGCUUUUCAAGAAGUGGAGGUCAAAGCUGGGGAUCGCAAGACCUAGCACUCGAAGAGGGGCCCGCGCCCGAUUAGCUAGUUGGUGAGGUAACGGCUCACCAAGGCAACGAUCGGUAGCCGGCCUGAGAGGGCGGACGGCCACACUGGGACUGAGACGCGGCCCAGACUCCUACGGGAGGCAGCAGUGGGGAAUUGUUCGCAAUGGGCGCAAGCCUGACGACGCAACGCCGCGUGGAGGAUGAAGAUCUUCGGGUC
rnacentral:rRNA from 1 species